GAUGCGCCAUACGAACGACGACGAGUCGCGCACUACGAGUAGGGCGCUGGUCGGCUCCGAACCCCACGAAGAAGUCACAACGAAAAAAGAAUAUAUACAAUUUUAAAUCCCCCAAAAAAAGAAACUAAAAAAAAACGAAUCAUCCCGCAGUUUAUUCAUUGAUUUAUACGCGAGUAUCUGAAAAGAACGGAGUGUUUUGUUUUCUUUUAUUUUUUGGGAACUCAAUUUUAAAAAAAAAAAAGAAAAACUAUUCUCGCCCCCCUGAUAGUGCGAGUCUAAUAAAAAUUAACCAAGAGGGAAUAAAAAAAGAGAAAAAUAAAACUUCAACUUGAAGAAAAGAAAAAUCUCGUUGAAGAAUGUCGGCUUCUGCUGUUGCAAAAACCUCCAAAUAUUCAUACCGCUCGAGCAGUGGUGGCGGAGCGGCCGAUGUUAGCAUUGAGUAUAGCGCCGACCUGAGCGCUCUCUCCAGGCUCGAGGACAAAAUUCGACUAUUACAAGACGAUCUCGAGAGUGAGAGAGAGCUACGUCAGAGGGUUGAACGUGAGCGUGCCGACUUGAGCGUGCAAGUCAUACAGCUCUCGGAGCGGCUUGAAGAAGCCGAAGGUGGCGCUGAGUCUCAGUUUGAAAUUAACAAAAAGAGGGACACAGAAUUAUUGAAGCUACGAAAGCUUUUAGAAGAUGUCCACCUCGAAAGUGAAGAGACCGCUCAUCUCUUACGCAAAAAGCAUCAGGAAGUGGUCGUUGAUUUUCAGGAUCAAAUCGACCAAAUGUCAAAGGCUCGAGCAAGAGCUGAAAAGGAAAAGGCCAAAUUCCAGCAGGAAGUAUAUGAACUUCUUGCUCAAAUCGACAAUGUUACGAAAGAGAAGAUUAUGUCAAUGAAGACAGUGGAGAAAUUAGAAAUACAUGUUUCGGAAUUAAAUGUCAAAAUUGAAGAAAUUAAUCGCACGAUCGUUGACAUUACAAGUCAUAAAACUCGAUUGUCACAAGAGAAUAUUGAAUUGACAAAAGAAGUACAAGAUUUAAAGGUGAACAUAGAGAAUGUUAUUUACUUGAAAACUCAAAUCGCUGGACAAUUGGAGGAUGCACGUCGUCGUUUAGAAGAUGAAGAACGACGUCGCUCAUUAGUUGAAGCUUCAUUACAUCAGGUUGAGAUUGAACUGGAAUCGGUUCGCGUUCAAUUGGAAGAAGAAUCGGAAGCACGUUUGGAUCUUGAACGUCAAUUAGUGAAAGCCAAUGGCGAAGUUUCCAUUUGGAGAUCCAAAUAUGAGACUGAAGCUCAAGCUCGCGCAGAAGAAGUUGAAGAAUUGCGCCGCAAAUACUGUGCUCGUAUUCAAGAACAAGAGGAGCAAAUCGAAACUCUUUUGGUUAAGAUCAACAACCUUGAAAAACAAAAGUCUCGCUUGCAAUCAGAAGUAGAGGUUCUAAUUAUUGAUCUGGAGAAGGCCAAUGGAACCGCUCGGGAGCUUCAGAAACGUGUGGAACAAAUGGAAAAGAUCAACAUUGAAAUGAAGGCCCGCCUUGACGAAACUUUGGCUAUGUAUGAACAAAGUCAACGAGACCUUCGCAAUAAACAACAGGAACUUCAACGUUGCAAUGCUGAACUUGACAAAACUCGGGAACUUAAAGAUCAACUUCUACGUGAAAAUAAGAAACUUGGAGACGAUCUUAAUGAUGCUAAGAAUCAAUUAGCUGACAUGAAUCGCAGACUACACGAACUGGAACUUGAGCUUCGUCGUCUUGAGAACGAACGAGAAGAACUGGCUGCUGCCUAUAAGGAAGCCGAGGCCGGUCGCAAAAUCGAGGAACAACGUUCACAAAGAUUGGCCGCUGAAUUAGGUCAACUUCGACACGAAACUGAGCGUCGUCUUGCUGAGAAGGAUGAAGAGAUUGACGCCAUUCGUAAGGCAACGAGUAUUGAAAUCGAACAAUUAAGCGCCCGUGUGGUGGAAGCUGAGACGAAAUUAAAGACUGAGGUACAACGUGUCAAGAAGAAGAUGCAGAUGCAAAUUACUGAAUUAGAAUUGUCAUUGGAUGUUGCAAAUAAAACCAACCUUGAUUUACAAAAGACAAUCAAAAAACAAUCUCUUACUUUAACGGAAUUGCAAGCACACUAUGAUGAAGUACAACGUCAAUUGCAAGUAACAUUAGAUCAAUUGGGCAUCAGCCAACGACGUCUUCAAUCUUUGACUGCUGAACUCGAAGAAGUUCGCGGCAAUUAUGAAUCUGCCCUUCGUGCAAAGAGAAAUGUCGAGCAGCAGUAUGAGGAAUCAGUCAGUCGAAUCAAUGAACUAACAACAAUAAACGUAAAUAUUGCAUCUUCUAAAGUUAAAUUGGAACAAGAGCUCACAGCAUUGGCGGGAGACUAUGAAGAAGUGACAAAAGAAUUGAGAGUAAGUGACGAAAGAUAUCAACGAGUACAAAACGAAUUGAAACACACUGUUGAAAUACUUCAUGAAGAACAGGAACGUAUAGUUAAAAUUGAGGCUAUUAAAAAAUCACUUGAAAUUGAAGUUAAAAAUCUUUCAAUUCGUUUAGAGGAAGUUGAAGCCAAUGCUAUCGUCGGUGGUAAACGAAUUAUUAGCAAACUUGAAGCCAGAAUUCGCGAUUUAGAAUUAGAGCUUGACGAAGAGAAACGUAGACAUUCGGAAACAGUGAAAAUACUACGUAAAAAGGAGCGCAAUAUUAAAGAGGUUAUGAUUCAAGUUGAGGAGGACUCAAAGAAUGUUGCAUUAUUGCAAGAAUGUUUAGAUAAAGCAACUCAAAAAGUAAAUAUUUACAAGAGACAACUUCAAGAACAAGAGGGUAUGUCACAACAAAGUGUAACGAGAGUUCGUAGAUUCCAACGUGAAUUAGAAGCAGCCGAAGAUCGUGCAGACACAGCUGAGAGCAACCUGACCUUAAUACGCGCGAAACACCGUAGCUUUGUAACCACAUCGUCUGUGCCUGGCUCUCAGGUUUAUCUUGUCCAAGAGACGAGGCAGGACAUUUAAUUCGCUCAUCCCUGCAAAAUCAUACCCUUGCUACUACAACUUCAUCUCCGCGAACGAAUUAAAAAAAUCGUUCUAAGGAGAGGUCUACGAAUCAAUGUAUGGACAAUUCGACAAACAAUUUCUGACUAAAAAGACGUAUUAUUUUUUCAUCGAUAUAGUAAGAAAAAAAAAACCCCCCCACAGUUGAUUCGAGGUACUUAACCAAAGAAGCGGAAACACAUCAAUAAAUGCAUUAAAAUCAUCGCAUUCAAGAUCAUCAUUUUAAUUAAAUCUGAUCGCUAAUUAUUAUCUUUUAAGAAAGUUAAAAAUAAUAAAAAAAAAAAAAAACACCCAUUCGUUCUAUUACACCUACACACAAACUUGUAUUUAAAUAAUGUUAAUUAUAUUACACACUAUUAUAGAUAGGGACCUCUACCCAUUACACAAACUCGUUGUACGACAUAAAAUAACCUGUGUCAACAUUUAAUUUAAUAAUAAACUGAAACGUGUACGUACGAAA